UAGGCUAUUUUCCGAUGUCCAAUAAGGGUUAAUCCUCGAUGUCUUCAAAUUCGUUCAAAUAACCUGCCAUCUCUUAUGUCUCCUGUUGCGUUCAGUGCUUCUCUUUAGCACAGUCCUUUCUUUCGGCAACAACGUUUCACGCAAGAUUCACUUCACAUCCCAGAGUUCUGUUUUCCCAAGGCGCCUGCCUGUAUGUGAACCAGACGUGAACGGUAAUGUAUUUCUUUUUAAUAAACUGCUUGUACACUUACAAAGAUCUCAAUGCUUCGGUUUACAUGUAGAGACCCUCAUUAUG